AUCUGUAUGUGUAUCAGUGUGUAUGUGCAACUGUAUUUGUAUCAGUGUUUGAAUCUGUGUAUCUGCAUGUGUGUCAAACACUGAUACACAUACAGUUGCACAUACACACUGAUACACAUACAGAU